UACGGGGGGGGCAAGCGUUGUUCGGAAUUACUGGGCGUAAAGGGCGCGUAGGCGGCCUUCUAAGUCGGACGUGAAAUCCCCCGGCUCAACCGGGGAACUGCGUCCGAUACUGGAGGGCUUGAAUCCGGGAGAGGGAUGUGGAAUUCCAGGUGUAGCGGUGAAAUGCGUAGAUAUCUGGAGGAACACCGGUGGCGAAGGCGGCAUCCUGGACCGGCAUUGACGCUGAGGCGCGAAAGCCAGGGGAGCAAACGGG
rnacentral:rRNA from 1 species